rnacentral:lncRNA from 1 species
AAUGGCGGAGAGAUUGGAAAGGAUUGAAGGUUGGAUGAUCAAGGAGAAAGUUCAGGGAGAGGCUCCGUCAUCCGAAGUAAACAAAUCCUCUAGCACUGUAGUAAAGAAACCCUCUGGCAGUGGUCAGCUCAAGAAGGAGGUUGAAUCAGGUGGGUUGCGAGCAAAAAAGAGUGCGGUAAAGAUCGUUAUCACCCUUAUGCUACCACUGUAACCACUCCUGUUG